AGCUCUCAACAUCGUCGAUGUGCUGACGAGCAGCGUUUUCUGAUUAGAACUGGGAACACAUAUAAUCCGGGCAUAUAUAGUAAUCAGGUGUCCAACGCAGAUAGUGAGCGAGUUAUAAAAACUCGCGCUCAGCUGAGCAAAUUGCCAAUAAUAAAAGUGUGUGAAACGCGAAAACAAACUGAGAACUAAUUGGAAAACAAAAAAUAAAACAAUUACACCGCUUUAAUCAGCUGGAACCUCAAGUAAUUAGUCUAAGAUAAGCGAAAAGAGUUCCUAAAGUGCUAUGACCAAGUUAGUGACCAUCCAGCUGCUCCUUGCGAGCUGGAGUUGCCUGGCAGUCCUUGCCCAGGCAAAGUCCAUCGAUUCCCCCAUCGACUUCACCACAGACAAUGACAACGCCAUUGCCAAGGAUGUGGACACCGAUCCGUUCGACAGUUGUCAAAUCUACUGUACUGGUGACUUGUUGCACACCAUCCAAACGGCUGUUCCAAAGAUUUUCGAUGACUCAAAGACGUUUGUGGACAUGAAACUGAAUUUUCCGCCCGCCAAGACCCUCACGGAUUUUGAGGCUCUGAUGGAUGCCAAGAACAGGACGCCCAGCCGGGAUGACUUGAUAGAGUUCGUCAAUAAAUACUUCAGUCCCAAGGGCACCGAACUGGAACUGUGGACGCCCACGGACUGGAAGGAGAACCCCAGCUUCCUCGAUCUGAUCCCCGACCCGGACCUAAAGCAGUGGGGCAUGGAACUGAAUAACAUUUGGAAGGAUCUGGGCCGCAAAAUGAAGGAUGAUGUCCUGAAGAACCCCGAGUACUACUCCAUCAUCCCGGUGCCCAAUCCGGUCAUCAUACCCGGCGGUCGAUUCAUCGAGUUCUACUACUGGGACUCCUACUGGAUCAUCCGUGGACUGCUCUACAGUGAUAUGCAUGACACUGCCCGCGGCAUGAUCGAGAACUUCAUGUCGAUCGUUAAGCGGAUUGGUUUCAUUCCAAACGGUGGCCGAGUGUACUACCACGGCCGCUCCCAGCCGCCACUUCUGACCGGAAUGGUCAAGUCAUAUGUGGACUUCACCAACGACGACUUGUUCGCUAUCAAUGCGCUGGAGGUGCUGGAGCACGAGUACGAGUACUUUGUGAACAACCACGCGGUGCAGGUUAAGGGUCAUAACCUGACCGUCUACCGUGACUCGUCAACGGGCCCGCGGCCAGAAUCCUACAGAGAGGACGUGGAGACGGGCGAGAAGUUCGCCACCGAGGAUGCUAGGGAGGAUCACUACAGCGAGCUCAAGUCAGCGGCCGAGUCGGGCAUGGACUUUAGCUCCCGCUGGUUCAUCAAUGAGAAUGGCACCAAUGAGGGCAACCUUACACACCUGAAAACUCGCUCCAUUGUUCCAGUCGACCUGAAUGCCUUCUUGUACUGGAACGCCAAGCUGAUAGCCGAGUUCCAUGCCAAGGCGGGCAACGUUGAAAAGGUCACCGAGUACGAGAACAAGGCGCAAAAGCUGCUGCUGGGCAUCCAAGAAGUACUGUGGAAUGAGGAGGCCGGCUGCUGGCUGGACUAUGACAUGAUCAACCAGAAGCCGCGUAACUAUUUUGUGGCCACCAAUCUCUCGCCGCUGUGGGUUAAAGCCUUUAAUAUUUCCGAUACCGAGAAAAUCUCCAAGUCGGUGCUGAACUACAUUGCGGUUAACAAGCUGGACUCAUUUGCCGGCGGAGUUCCCAACACACUGUCCAAUACCGGAGAGCAGUGGGACUUUCCCAACGUGUGGGCACCGAUGCAGUACAUUGUGGUUGAGGGUCUCAACAACCUGAACACCCCCGAGGCUAAGAACUUGUCCAAGUCGUGGGCCAUGCGCUGGGUGAAGUCUAACUUUAAGGCUUACAGCGAUGACUUCCACAUGUACGAGAAGUAUAACGCCGAAAAGUUUGGAGGACAUGGUAGCGGCGGCGAGUACGGCGUACAGACAGGCUUUGGCUGGUCCAACGGCGUGAUAAUCGAGUGGCUGGCCAAGCACGGCCGCGAGUUGGACAACGGCGGAGGCCGAGGCGGUGCAGCAGGUGAACGUCCGCAAUAGAAUGAAUCUGUAGAGCGAACGAACGCAAGCCGAAACGCUUUCCAUCAGACAUCACCGUAGUCACCAUUGUCAUCACGGGCUCCAAGCCAAAGCUCCAUCGAAAUCUUUGAUAUCACAUGCAUAUAUUUGUAGUUCAUGUAUAGGAAUCCAUCCAGAAACGCUCAUUUUUGCUCAUACUUAGGCUAAGGAAAUGCUCUCUCUCUCCACCACCCUGUCUAUCCCUAUAUCUAUGCCGCUGUCUGUAACCUAUCUCUGUACCGCGAACAAUCGACAUACCGAGCCAAGCACUGCGAAUCACAACGACUCACCAGCACAGUCAGUCAGCACCGGCAGGAAGCAGGAUCCAGCAUCUGUGUACUCUCUGUUAACCAAUGUGUUUCGUCCGCUCCUGUGACUUGUCCAAAUUCAAGCAAUGUCCAAUCAGAACAUUAAAUGUCUCACAGCAAGCGGAGCAAGCACCGCGCAGUCAAGGUGUGGAUUCACGCCUUCGCGCGUAAUGAGCCUCGUGGGCGUGGCGGCUGUUACCAUAGUAGCUCUGAUAGCAGGUCGCGUUCUAUGGUGAGAGACUCUGUGCCAAACAACCCGUAAUUGCUUCCCCAAUGCGAAUGUGAUUCCCCCCAUGUGUUUGCGUGUGUAGUGUUUGUUAUUGUUCAAGAGAUUGCAGUAUUAGAUUUUCAUUAUGCGCUAGUUGUUGAAGCGAGAGUUGUACAUACAGAAUUUACAUGGGCAUGCCCGACGUUGUUAUUAAUUUUUAAAUAUAAUUAGAAAAUACCUAAGCCAAUCCUAGCUCCUCGCAACCAAAUGAAGACACAAAUACAAUUGUUAAACUAAUUUUUUGGAAUAAACAAAAUCCCAAACAAA